rnacentral:rRNA from 1 species
UUGAACGCUGGCGGCAGGCCUAACACAUGCAAGUCGAGCGGUAGCACAGAGAGCUUGCUCUCGGGUGACGAGCGGCGGACGGGUGAGUAAUGUCUGGGAAACUGCCUGAUGGAGGGGGAUAACUACUGGAAACGGUAGCUAAUACCGCAUAAUGUCGCAAGACCAAAGUGGGGGACCUUCGGGCCUCAUGCCAUCAGAUGUGCCCAGAUGGGAUUAGCUAGUAGGUGGGGUAACGGCUCACCUAGGCGACGAUCCCUAGCUGGUCUGAGAGGAUGACCAGCCACACUGGAACUGAGACACGGUCCAGACUCCUACGGGAGGCAGCAGUGGGGAAUAUUGCACAAUGGGCGCAAGCCUGAUGCAGCCAUGCCGCGUGUGUGAAGAAGGCCUUCGGGUUGUAAAGCACUUUCAGCGGGGAGGAAGGCGUUAAGGUUAAUAACCUUGGCGAUUGACGUUACCCGCAGAAGAAGCACCGGCUAACUCCGUGCCAGCAGCCGCGGUAAUACGGAGGGUGCAAGCGUUAAUCGGAAUUACUGGGCGUAAAGCGCACGCAGGCGGUCUGUCAAGUCGGAUGUGAAAUCCCCGGGCUCAACCUGGGAACUGCAUUCGAAACUGGCAGGCUAGAGUCUUGUAGAGGGGGGUAGAAUUCCAGGUGUAGCGGUGAAAUGCGUAGAGAUCUGGAGGAAUACCGGUGGCGAAGGCGGCCCCCUGGACAAAGACUGACGCUCAGGUGCGAAAGCGUGGGGAGCAAACAGGAUUAGAUACCCUGGUAGUCCACGCCGUAAACGAUGUCGACUUGGAGGUUGUGCCCUUGAGGCGUGGCUUCCGGAGCUAACGCGUUAAGUCGACCGCCUGGGGAGUACGGCCGCAAGGUUAAAACUCAAAUGAAUUGACGGGGGCCCGCACAAGCGGUGGAGCAUGUGGUUUAAUUCGAUGCAACGCGAAGAACCUUACCUGGUCUUGACAUCCACGGAAGUUUUCAGAGAUGAGAAUGUGCCUUCGGGAACCGUGAGACAGGUGCUGCAUGGCUGUCGUCAGCUCGUGUUGUGAAAUGUUGGGUUAAGUCCCGCAACGAGCGCAACCCUUAUCCUUUGUUGCCAGCGGUUCGGCCGGGAACUCAAAGGAGACUGCCAGUGAUAAACUGGAGGAAGGUGGGGAUGACGUCAAGUCAUCAUGGCCCUUACGACCAGGGCUACACACGUGCUACAAUGGCAUAUACAAAGAGAAGCGACCUCGCGAGAGCAAGCGGACCUCAUAAAGUAUGUCGUAGUCCGGAUUGGAGUCUGCAACUCGACUCCAUGAAGUCGGAAUCGCUAGUAAUCGUAGAUCAGAAUGCUACGGUGAAUACGUUCCCGGGCCUUGUACACACCGCCCGUCACACCAUGGGAGUGGGUUGCAAAAGAAGUAGGUAGCUUAACCUUCGGGAGGGCGCUUACCACUUUGUGAUUCAUGACUGGGGUG